rnacentral:rRNA from 1 species
AUUGAACGCUAGCGGGAUGCCUUACACAUGCAAGUCGAACGGCAGCGCGGACUUCGGUCUGGCGGCGAGUGGCGAACGGGUGAGUAAUGUAUCGGAACGUGCCCAGUAGCGGGGGAUAACUACUCGAAAGAGUAGCUAAUACCGCAUACGCCCUACGGGGGAAAGGGGGGGAUCGCAAGACCUCUCACUAUUGGAGCGGCCGAUAUCGGAUUAGCUAGUUGGUGAGGUAAAGGCUAACCAAGGCGACGAUCCGUAGCUGGUUUGAGAGGAAGACCAGCCACCCUGGGACUGAGACACGGCCCAGACUCCUACGGGAGGCAGCAGUGGGGAAUUUUGGACAAGGGGGGAAACCCUGAUCCAGCCAUUCCGCGUGUGCGAUGAAGGCCUUCGGGUUGUAAAGCACUUUUGGCAGGAAAGAAAUCGCAUCAAUUAAUACUUGGUGUGGAUGACGGUACCUGCAGAAUAAGCACCGGCUAACUACGUGCCAGCAGCCGCCGCAG